AAAGCGGGGGACGGGAGAGAGAGAGAGAGAGAGAGAGAGAGAAAGAAAGAGAGUUCCAAAUGUUUACUUGGGUAAGAAAUGCGCUGGCCAUUUAGCCCUGUUGUGACAAAUCCCUGAAAAUGGAGGAACGCCGCAUACCAUAUAAGGUAGGAUGCUAACUUGACCUUCACUUUGCAAUGGCGGCCCCCGCCCACCCAGACAGACAGUUGUAAACAGAAGUCAUCCGACAAAAAAGAUUAGCCCCGGCCAGGCAAGGUCUACGGAAUUGCUAAGAUCUUGGCUGAUUUUUGGAUCCCGGCAAACGAGGAAGCGGACCGGCAACCGGAUUUUUGAUGGUUGUGCAACCUUAAAUAAUAAUGCCGGACAAUCCACUACUUAUUGAGGUCGAUGAUGAAGUCCUUACAGAUUUUAGUCGCAGAUACACUUACCCUUUCCUUUUGUGAGACNUUGCCAAAGGGUACACAUAUCAAUCUACCUUCCCGCUUACCUUGNCCUCCUCAAAGUUUGCAGACUAUAACAAUAGCAAGACCACCACCAGCAGCCAUCCUCAACUCAUAUGGUUAUGAAUUCAGUGCUUCCCUACCCUGGGAAAUCUGCAGUAUACAAAGCAACCCUUGGUAGAGUGAAAGCCUGAGACAGACAGGAAAGUGUUCAACUACUCAGUCACAGAUCUUUGGGGAAGACAAGGACCAAGGAUCUUUGACCCCCCCACUCCCAUCAAGGAACCAUUUGUCAAGAAAGCAGAGCACCCAGGAAGUACAAGAAACANUAUUUCAGUUGUCUUCUGUGCUUCAAAAUUGAGCUGAUUAUGAAUUCAUAGGCAGUAGAUAUGAGAAAUUUAUUUCUGAGGCCAGGGUUAUUGAAAUAUAAGAUGGAUGGAGGGAUUAUAGGGGGAGGAGAAAAGAUGCAUACAUACAGAUGAAGUAAGGUAGACUGAUAGAUGAGAUGGGUGGGGAAACAGGUCAACUUGUGUGUAUUCCGUGGCAUUAUUAAAAAUUAAAAUAAAAUCUUAUAUUGUCU
rnacentral:lncRNA from 1 species